UACGUAGGAGGCGAGCGUUGUCCGGAAUUACUGGGUGUAAAGCGCGCGUAGGUGGUAGGCCAAGUCUGUGGUGAAAGCCCCCGGCUCAACUGGGGAGGGUCACGCGAUACUGCUCGACUUGAAGGCAGGAGAGGGAAGUGGAAUUCCCGGUGUAGUGGUGAAAUGCGUAGAUAUCGGGAGGAACACCAGUGGCGAAGGCGACUUCCUGGCCUGUUCUUGACGCUGAGGCGCGAAAGCUAGGGUAGCAAACGGG
rnacentral:rRNA from 1 species